UACGUAGGGUGCAAGCGUUACUCGGAAUUAUUGGGCGUAAAGCGCAUGUAGGCGGUUCUAUAAGUCUGAUGUGAAAUCCCUGGACUCAAUUCAGGAACUGCAUUGGAUACUGUAGAACUAGAGUAUGAGAGAGGUAGGCGGAAUUCCUGGUGUAGAGGUGAAAUUCGUAGAUAUCAGGAGGAACACCAGCGGCGAAGGCGGCGCUCUGGGCCGGUACUGACGCUGAGGUGCGAAAGCGUGGGGAGCAAACAGG
rnacentral:rRNA from 1 species